rnacentral:lncRNA from 1 species
ACGAGAUCUGACGGCUUAAAAGUGUGGCACUUCCUACCUCACUCUCUCUCUCUCUCCUGCUGCAUUGUGAAGAAACUGCUUGCUUCCCUCUCACCCUCUGCAGUUUCCUGAGGCCUCCCCAGCCAUGCGGAACGCCUGCUUCCAUAUCGUAAACUGCCUUGGAACCAAUUACCACUACCAGGGAGACAAACUAUUGCUUAGAGGAUGCUGACAGGAGCAGCAUGCCAAAAUUGGAAGAAGGAGAAAGUUUAAGCUCUCCUCACUAUGAGUUUUCAAGUAUAAAAGACUUUUUCUUCCACGAUUUUGAGAACAACUGAGGACUCUUGUGACCAGGACAACAGGGAAGCUUGCAGCAAGAUAGCUCCAGGUUGGAUUCAUGCUUCGCACCCCAAGGGCUGCCAGCCAGAGAGGAGGAGAAGCAAUCACUCCUGCAGUUUCUGAACACUACACAGACGCCAGGUAGCUUCUUCAGGAGAACAGCCCUCUGAGGAGGCAGGAAGAGGAGGCUUAUCUUUCAGCAGCCGGAGCUGCUGAGAUCUCUGGGCAGAUUAAGCUCUCUCUAAUGGAUGGGCUCCAGCCUGGCACAUUCAGUGGAGAGGGAUCCACUCAUCCAUCAUCAACAUAAUAUGGUCCUCCCUGCACUUCACAGUGUCCUCUUGCUAUUGAAAAGGCUUUUUUGCCUUCUCAAGUUUCUUUGUCAACAGUCUACAGGAAGAAGCUCAGGCCGCCACCGGCAGAGGUGAAUGCAAGCUCACGUUUUAUUUCUGACUGCUUAAUCAUUGCCUCGAUCACUGCUCAAGCUCUGCCUUUGUUUCCAAAGGUUACCUGUGGGAAAACUUCUUUUUCUAUGCUGAAAUUAAUAGGGAGGCAAAGAUGAGUCCACUGAUAAGCAGAGCCUUAAAACUCACAUAGAGAAACAACUUUGCUGGAGUGUGUGUGAGUGAACCACUAAGGAAUCAGAUAGUGUGAUGGCAGUUAUCAUUGCAGGUUAAGACAUUUCUACAAAUAUUUCGACAUCUCCAUAUACUCACUCCUUUCCCCCCUGAGUGGAGAGACUCAGCUACCAAGAGAGGAAGCUCAAAAAAAACAGAAGCUUCAAACAAACAACCAACCAAAAAAAAAAAAAAACUGUGGGUUCAUCAGAGGUGGUAGGGAAGACAAAAACAUGGGAGGAGCAGCUGGGCACGGUGGCUCAAGCCUGUAAUCCCAGCACUUUGCGAGGCUGAGGUGGGUGGAUCACCUGAGGUCAGGAGUUCGAGACCAGCCUGGCCAACAUGGUGAAACCCCAUCUCUACUAAAAAUACAAAAAAUUAGCCGGGCGUUGUGGUACGCACCUGUAAUCCCAGCUACUCCGGAGGCUGAGGCAGCAGAAUCGCUUGAACCCAGGAGGCAGAGGUUGCAACGAGCCAAGAUCGCACCAUUGCACUCCAGCCUGGGCAACAAGAGCGAAACUCCAUCUAAAAAAAACAAACAAGCAAACAAACAAAAAACACGGGAGGAGCAAUAAAAAGGAAUCCAUG